ACGAACGCUGGCGGCGUGCUUAACACAUGCAAGUCGAACGGAAAGGCCUGCUUUCCCUUGUGGAUUGCGGGUACUCGAGUGGCGAACGGGUGAGUAACACGUGAGUGAUCUGCCCCCAACUUGGGUAUAAGCCUGGGAAACUGGGUCUAAUUCCCGAUAGGACUGCAGGGUGGUGCCUGUGGUGGAAAACGAUUUUCUAGUGGUUGGGGAUGAGCUCGCGGCCUAUCAGCUUGUUGGUGGGGUAAUGGCCUACCAAGGCGGCGACGGGUAGCCGGCCGGAGAGGGUGGACGGCCGCAUUGGGACUGAGAUACGGCCCAGACUCCUACGGGAGGCAGCAGUGGGGAAUAAUGCACAAUGGGCGGAAGCCUGAUGCAGCGACGCCGCGUGGGGGAUGACGGCCUUCGGGUUGUAAACUCCUUUCGACCGCGAGGAAGCCACCUGGUUGGAAGGGUGGUGACGGUAGUGGUAGAAGAAGCACCGGCUAACUACGUG
rnacentral:rRNA from 1 species